rnacentral:rRNA from 1 species
UACAGAGGGGGCAAGCGUUGUUCGGAAUUACUGGGCGUAAAGGGCGCGUAGGCGCCUGUUAAGUCGAACGUGAAAUCCCCAGGCUCAACCUGGGAACUGCGUCCGAUACUGGCAGGCUUGAAUCCGGGAGAGGGAUGCGGAAUUCCAGGUGUAGCGGUGAAAUGCGUAGAUAUCUGGAGGAACACCGGUGGCGAAGGCGGCGAUCCUGGACCGGU